rnacentral:rRNA from 1 species
AUCUAAGCGGGAAGCCUGCUUCAAGAUGAGGUUUCCACGGGGCUCGUCCCCGAGAGGCUCCCAGCUAGACCACUGGGUAGAUAGGCCGGAUGUGGAAGGCAGGACUAAAGACUGCCGCAGCUGACCGGUACUAAUAAGCCGACAACUUGACUAA